UGGGGAAUUUUGGACAAUGGGCGAAAGCCUGAUCCAGCCAUGCCGCGUGAGUGAAUAAGGCCUUCGGGUUGUAAAGCUCUUUCAGAUGGAAAGAAAACGUACAGGUUAAUACCUUGUGCGGAUGACGGUACCAUCAGAAGAAGCACCGGCUAACUACGUGCCAGCAGCCGCGGUAAUACGUAGGGUGCGAGCGUUAAUCGGAAUUACUGGGCGUAAAGCGUGCGCAGGCGGUUAUGUAAGACAGAUGUGAAAUCCCCGGGCGCCACCUGGAAACUGCGUGUGUGACUGCAUAACUAGAGUACGGCAGAGGGAGGGGGAAUUCCGCGUGUAGCAGUGAAAUGCGUAGAGCUGCGGAGGAACACCGAUGGCGAAGGCAGCCUCCGGGGCCAGUACUGACGCUCAUGCACGAAAGCGUGGGGAGCAAACAG
rnacentral:rRNA from 1 species